AGCCAGGAAAUCAUUUGAAGGUACAAAAGAACUAGAAGAGCUGCAAGAACAGCUGAGACAAGGCGUUGUUCAAGAAUUACAUGAAGGUUCACCGGAUGCAGUAAAAAACACAAAUCCUGUGUUCCGUGAUCUUCAUGAAGAAAUGAAGUUUGUUGAUCUUAAAAAGGUUUUUGAGUAAGU